rnacentral:rRNA from 1 species
AUUGAACGCUGGCGGCAGGCCUAACACAUGCAAGUCGAGCGAGCGGCGGACGGGUGAGUAAUGUAUGGGGACUGCCCGAUAGAGGGGGAUAACUACUGGGAACGGUGGCUAAUACCGCAUACUAUCGGAUAACCCAUAUGGGAUUAUCUAGUAGGUAAUGGAAUGGCUUACUGAGGCGACGAUCCCUAGCUGGUCUGAGAGGAUGAUCAGCAACACUGGAACUGCGACACGGCCCAGACUCCUGCGGAGGCAGCAGUGGGGAAUAUUGCACAAGGGGCGCAAGCCGGAUGCAGCCAUGCCGCGUGUAUGAAGAAGGCCCUAGGGUUGUAAAGUACUUUCAGUCGGGAGGCGUUACCGACAGAAGAAGCACCGGCUAACUCCGUGCCAGCAGCCGCGGUAAUAC